UACGGAGGGUGCGAGCGUUGUCCGGAAUGACUGGGCGUAAAGGGCGUGUAGGCGGCCGAUUAAGUCCGGAGUGAAAGUCCUGCCUUCAAGGUGGGAAUUGCUCAGGAAACUGGUUGGCUUGAGUGCGGAAGAGGUAAGUGGAAUUCCCAGUGUAGCGGUGAAAUGCGUAGAGAUUGGGAGGAACACCAGUGGCGAAGGCGACUUACUGGGCCGUAACUGACGCUGAGGCGCGAAAGCGUGGGGAGCGAACAGG
rnacentral:rRNA from 1 species